rnacentral:rRNA from 1 species
UACAGAGGGUGCGAGCGUUGUCCGGAAUCACUGGGCGUAAAGGGCGCGUAGGUGGUGGCUUAAGCGUGCGGUGAAAGCUCGGAGCUCAACUCCGAGUCGGCCGUGCGAACUGGGCUCACUGGAGCAUAGUAGAGGCAGGUGGAAUUCCGGGUGUAGCGGUGGAAUGCGCAGAUAUCAGGAGGAACACCGGUGGCGAAGGCGGGUCUCUGGGCCGAUACUGACGCUGAGGAGCGAAAGCGUGGGGAGCGAACAGG